CCGCCGGCUUUACGCAUCUAUUGCUUUCUUAUCAUAAACUGUCGCGUUGUUGCUUGCACAGUUUGCAGUCAGUUUCGUGCCGGUCUCUGCUUGAUCCAGGCGUAAUUUACUCGACUCAUAUUGUUUGUCCGGGCAUCUACUUUCUAAAUUUGAAUUAUAUUCGAUUCUCAAUCGACUAUAGUAAUGUUAUUUACUGUUUGCGCGUAUAUAGUCCAUAGUUAAGUGCAUCGCCCCCAUGUUGAUUUGAUAUUCAUCAUUAGGAUGACCCAUCGUGCUGGUUAUUUGCCGUUCCUUGGAGUCCAUGAGUCUUGCAUUGCAAUUGCCUUCGAGUUCCGAGUUCCUUCGAGUCACGAGCUAAAUUAGAAUGCGAAUUUCAUUCGCUUCGUCGUUCGACUCCCGAUUUAAAAUAAAAUAAAUAUUGACACCCCUUCCCACAUUUUCCCUUAACAAUGUCAUUUAUUUCACAGAUUUUAUCAUCUUCAACAAUAGUCCUGAGUGUUACAUCGAGUGAAAUACUGGUAUGUGGGAUUUUGCACUUGAGUCUUACAUCGUAGAAGGAGCAUUCUUGCAUCAGAUUGGAUUUUACACCUGAGUCUGACAUCGUAGAAGGACCAUUCUUGCAUCAGAUUGGAUUUUGCACCUGAGUCUGAAAUAGUAGAAGGACUAUUCUUACAUCAGAUUGGAUUUUGCACCUGAGUCUGACAUCGUAGAAGGACCAUUUUUGCAUCAGAUUGGAUUUUGCACCUGAAUAUGACAUCGUAGAAGGACCAUUCUAGUAUCAGAUUUGAUUUUGCACCUGAGUUUAUCAUCGUAGUAG